GUGUAGGACCUGGUAAGAAACAGGAGUUUUAUUCUAUGCGUAAUGAGUAGGAGAGGUUUUAAGCAGAAGAGUACGUAAUCUGACUUUUAGUUUAAAAGUCUCAACCUUGGUGGAUAUGGAUUUAACAAGCUACUGGGGUCAGGAAAGAGGACAGAAUUCUGAGUUAAGAAGUAACUGUAGUAAUCUAGGAAAGAGAUCAGAAAUAUUUAUUUAAACUAAGCACAGGAGGAAGUGAAUCCACCAGCAACAGUGCCCGCUGGCAGGCAUUAAGGCUUAAUUCUCCCAGGAAACCCUGGCUGAGAACGUCUACGGGAUCAAGUCUAAUCUCCUCAAAAUGAAACAGAAGAUCAUUUACAUGCCAUAGACGUCUCCACCUUAUUUCUUGAGACUUCUCUUCCCUUCUUCCUAUAUCAAGCUACCUACAAUUUCCUUAAUGCCGAGCCUAUUUCCAACUUCUUUGUUUGGAAUUCCCUUGGAGUCUCUGUGGUAGUAUCUACUAAUCUUUAUCAAAGUGGAAGCAUGAUCUUAUCCAUGAAACGCUUCCUCCUAUUCCCUAAUGCAGAACCGAGGCCUUCCUUCUUGAUACUCAAGAAUGUAAAGGAAAACACGAACAUGAGGAAAAGUGCUUAAAAAAAAAGGAAAAGGCCUAAGUGAACCUUAUAGAGAUGAAAAAUACAGUAUAUGAAAGGAAACAUUGUGCUGAAUUGGAUUUGUGGCAAUCAGACCCUUCAGAAGAACCAAUGGUCAACCGGAAGUCACAGCAAUAAAAUAUAUCCAAGAUGAAGCAGUGAGAGGAAAAAAAAAGACUUAAAAAAUAAUUCAAUUCUCUCUGACACAAUAUGAAGUAGUACAAUACAUGCACGCUGGACUCUAAUCAGGAGAGGAGAAAGAGACACAGGAAAAAAUUUUCAGCAAUAAAAACCCAAAAUGUUCCAAGCUUGAUAAAACCCUAUAACCAAAGCAGCUCCAAGACUCCAAGCAGGGUGCACAUAAACACACACACACACACACACACACACACACACACACACACACAGAAUCACAAGGCCCAUCAAAUUCCUAAUGCUGAAAACUAGGGAUCAAGAAAAAAAACUCUUAAACCAAGUGAGAGGAAAAAAGAGACCUUACAGAGAUAGAGGGCCAAGAUAACAGGGCCAGCAGAUUUUUCCAUCAAGAACGAAACAAGCCAAAAUGCUAAUGUAACAACUUUACAGAUUGAAACAAAAAGCUGUCAACCCAGAAUUCUAUACCCAGUGAAAAUAUAUUUACUUCAAAAUGAGAGAUAAACAUUUCUUCAAGCAAAAGCUAACAGCAUAUA